ACCUUAAAUUUGUGGCAUGCUCGUUUAGAGCAUGCUAACUUUCAAUAUUUAUGUUGGCUUUUUCCCUCUUUCAGUAAAGCUUGUCAAAUAUUUAAUUUUAAAUGUGUAAUUUGUGAGUUAUCUAAACAUACUCGUACCUUUUGUAUUCCUCGUAUGCAUCGUGCACCAAGUGCCUUUGACCUUAUUCACUUGGAUGUAUGGGGUCCGUCUCCAGUUACCGCUCU
rnacentral:lncRNA from 1 species